GCGAAACGGUUGCAAACGGUUACAAAUCGGUUGUCAACGACUGCUAACGAAACGGUUCGUAAUUGAAUCGAAAAACGUAGCAAUCAAUGAAUUACAUUUUUGAACAUCCAGUUUUACUAUGAAAACGUUUUGCUAUGAAAUCAUUUCACAACAAAAUUCAGAACGCACUGUUUGGCUUGACAAAAUUUCCUUCGAAAUAUUUGUUAAUUCCCCAUAAAUUUUGUUACCCGCUCUUGACGAUAGGUUUUCAAAAUGCCUGGCAAGAAGAAAGUCGUUGCCAAGAAAACUGCAGCCACGCCUGCGGCAAAAGUAAAUAUUGGCAGCACUGCAGGAGCACCAGCGGCUGCAGUGGCUUCAGAGAAGACUGAAGCCACAGCCGUUAAGAAAGCCAAGACCAAGAGCAAGUCCAAAACCAAGAGCAAAUAGAGACAAUGAGGGAGUGGUAUUGAAAUUUUAAAAAUUAUCAAGCAAACAAAAACACUAAUGCCCAGUAAAAAGUGGAGCUAACGGUUUACACCUUUCAAGGUUGAAACUUAACUGGAACUAAUAUGAACUCUUACUACCAGUUAAAAAUAGGUUUUACCAGUUCUAAACCACUCUAGGAAAAGGGAUUUUAUAAAGUACAAGCACACACUGCAAAGCAAUAUUUUUAUCAAAUUAACUGAAAUAAAAAAAUUACAUCUAA